CUACCAAGCCCAGGAGCAAACUGCCUCGGCCUAUAAGGUUCCUUAGCCUGCCAAAGGCUGCCACCGGCUCAGGGAGAAGAAGAUCGAGGGCUUGACCUCUCUCCGUGUGAUGGCUCAGAACCACAUGGACAUACUGAUGCCUAAACUCCAUGAUAUCUGCCUUGCCAUUAUAAAUGAGGUGAAGAACCUGCGCUCUGCAGUGUCCUGUGCUGCCAUGGCCACACUGGGUGACAUGUACGUUCACCUCCAGAGGGCCAUGGACAGUGAGGUGGA